CCGUCUUGGAAAAUAAAAAUAAAAGUGCUGACGUCAGCAUUAUCCUCGAACGCCUUAGAAACUGUGUUAUACACAAAAUUCAUUUAAAAAUCCUUGGUUAAGGUUGUUAAGAUGGGACAUCUUACCUGACAUAAACAAGAAUUUAAACAUUUUAGCUCAAACUCGCCUUUAUUUUAGCAUUUGAUUUUUGGAUAAAUGCUUGGUGGUAUAAAAUGGCCAAUUUUAAAUCAAUCAAACUGCGCCAAUCACAAAACAGAAUUAGUGAUUUUAGUACAGAAUCUGUACUAAAUCACUAAUUCUGUUUUAUGAUUGGCGCGAUUUAAUCAAAGAAUCCUCCCGUUGAACCAGAGCCUUCACGACGUUUCAAUGUAUUAUUUACUGAAGGCUCUGGAAUCCAGGGUAUAACUCAGGAGGAAUUAAUCCUACUGAUUCAAAAUUUUUGGUGAACACUCGUAAUAACGAUAUAAACAACAUAUAAAACUUCCAGUAUUUUAACUGAAAUUCCUGGAAAUUGGACGGAAACUGCAUAAGGCCCAUUAAGAUGCGAGAUUUUUAUGCGUGUAGCAAGUCUGCGAACAAAUCGUCAACAAGUUGUGUUCGCACUGCUUGUCCCAAGUUGUCAACAAGUUUGGGACAAGGCUGAAGCUCUUACCCACCGGGCACACGACGUUGUUUCAACGUUGAAAUUUGAUAGAAAAAAGGUUGCGACGUCGACAACCUAAUAUCUACGUUGUUCUGACGUUGUUUUACAAACAUUGGUUCAACAGCAGCCAACAGACGUUGAAUUAACAAUUAACGUUCAUUCAUGGUUAAAUGUACGACGUCGAUUUGUGAACCAAUCUCAACGUUGUUUUAACGUGGAUUCAACGUUGAAUUAUGGUUGACGAGAUUGGCAACCUAAUUUCAACGUUGUUUCAACGUCGAAACAGUAACGUCGAUCCAAUUUGCAUAGUCAACCCUUUUUCAACGUCUAUCCAACGUCUGGAAGGUCAUUUCCAACGUUGAUUCAACGUUGGAUAAUCGUCAUUUUGCCCGCUGGGUAACAAGAUGUGAGAUUUUUGUGUGUACAUGCAGUCUGCUUUGUAGUGAGUGUCUAAAUUUUUUCUGUAACGACUUUUUAUUUUAAAUUGUUUAUUUUCAGACUUCAUUUCAGGCGAGGAAGUCGAUGAAGUGUACAUACCAGACGAACGACAGGAACCACAGCAAGUGGCGCAGCGGGAAACAAUCUCUCAAGUUGCGCAAGAGCUGCGCACCCUGGGAGAUCGAUAUGCAGAACAGUAUGGUAACAACUUGACUGUGAGUCAUGUCCAAUUAUAUUAGCGUGAUUUAGAGAGGCAUAUCAUGGCCUGUAACAUUUUGUUUUCUGAGAUUCAUUGUAACAUAUUUUAAUUGGCGAUGCGCGCAGAUGCGCCCUACUUUAUUAUUGUACUCAGUCUAACGCCAGACGAUUUUACUCAUCAUGGGUUUAUUACAGC